rnacentral:rRNA from 1 species
UAGGGAAUAUUGGUAAUCUGGGAAACCGGGAACCAGCAACGCCGCGUGCGCGAUGAAGGCCUUCGGGUUGUAAAGCGCUCUUUGAAGGGAUGAGGAAGGACAGUACCUUCAGAAUAAGCCUCGGCUAACUACGUGCCAGCAGCCGCGGUAAAACGUAGGAGGCGAGCGUUAUCCGGAUUUACUGGGCGUAAAGCGUGUGUAGGCGGUUUGAUAAGUUGGAUGUGAAAGCUCCCGGCUCAACUGGGAGAGGUCGUUCAAAACUAUCAGACUAGAGAGUGGUAGAGGGAGGUGGAAUUCCGCGUGUAGUGGUGAAAUGCGUAGAUAUGCGGAGGAACACCAGUGGCGAAAGCGGCCUCCUGGCCCAUUUCUGACGCUCAGACACGAAAGCUAAGGUAGCAAACGG